GCGGGGAUAGCUCAGUUGGGAGAGCGUCAGACUGAAGAUCUGAAGGCCGUGUGUUCGAUUUGCGCUCCUUUUU
rnacentral:tRNA from 1 species